GACAGAGGGUGCAAACGUUGCUCGGAAUCACUGGGCGUAAAGGGGCGUGUAGGCGGGGUAGGCAAGUCGGGGCGUGAAAUCCCUGAGCUCAACUCAGGAACUGCACUCGAAACUGCUUAUCUUGAGUGCCGGAGAGGAAAGCGGAAUACCUGGUGUAGAGGGUGAAAUUCGGUAGAUAUCAGGGUGGGAACACCAGUGGCCGAAAGGGCGGGCUUUCUGGACGGGUAACUGGACGCUGAAGACGCGAAAGCGUGGGGAGGCAAACAGGGAUGAAGAAACCCCGUGGUAGUCCAAGAACCAAGUACCUCUAGGCACCUGGAUCAUU
rnacentral:rRNA from 1 species